CCCAACAAAGCAAACACCAACCCAAACACACACUAAAUAUUUGUGGCUAUUUCAGAGCAGAUGACCUUCACCUUCACCUCCAUCUCCAAAAUCCAAAUAUUUUACCAUGUUUGCCACCCCCACCACCAGCAUCGCAUCACCACCACCACCCUCCCCACCAUUUCCACCCCCCACUCUGCCUCCACCCUUCCCCCCAUUUUCCCCCCUUACUCCACCGCCGCCAGCGCCAGCAUUUGAGUUUCCGCCAUUGCCCGAUUUGCCCGAUUCGCCGCCUUUCAGUGCAUCACCACCACCACCACCCAUACCUCUGUCACCACCAGACAACACAUGGCCACCACCAAGUCUACCACAACUACUACCCACGCUGCUCAUUCUGGUGGGUAUCUUGGUUCUAACAAUAAUAACCACCAUCGCUAUGAGAAUUUACAAUUCUCUACGAAACCCGUCUCAGGGAGAGGUUGUAAUAGUCCCAGAGCAGACACAGGACUCACGUAUAAGAAUACACGCCUAAAUCACACAUUGACCACCAUAUAUAGUGACUAGUGAAGAUGGACGACAACAAAAAAUCAGAGCAGCAGCGCAGAUUUAUCCAUCCUUACUAUCGGGGCUAUACUAUUGGAUGGUAGUGGUUUUAUACUAUUACGGGUAUGUAUUAUGGAAUAUUGUUUUAAGUGUUUUGGAUGAUUAUGUAUUAAAACUUGGAUGGUGUAGUAUGUGGUAGCAAAAUGGGAACUAUAAUGUUGGAAUUUUAGUCGUAUA